rnacentral:rRNA from 1 species
UACAGAGGUCUCAAGCGUUGUUCGGAUUCAUUGGGCGUAAAGGGUGCGUAGGUGGCGCUGUAAGUCGGGUGUGAAAUUUCGGAGCUUAACUCCGAAACUGCAUCCGAUACUGCGGUGCUUGAGGACUGGAGAGGAGACUGGAAUUCAUGGUGUAGCAGUGAAAUGCGUAGAGAUCAUGAGAAAGACCAGUGGCGAAGGCGGGUCUCUGGACAGUUCCUGACACUGAGGCACGAAGGCCAGGGGAGCAAACGGG